GGUGGACGAGCUGUUCACGGGUGAAGAGGAAGGAGAUAGGAAAUACUGGUGGGGAAGAGAAAGAAGGGAGAAGAGAGCCAUUUGACGUGUGGGGCCUAUUGCCACUUGUCAUCUGAUAAAUAGAACUCACUAUCACAUUAUGCGAAACCACAUUAAAAACCACCGUUGCAUGAUGACCUCGAGGGGGCAUUCAAAAUAAACUUUUUCCUAGUCUUGAAAAUUGCUGAACUUAUCAUCACCCCUUGCAUAUAUUUUGUUUCAUAAUUCCUAAUUGUCACCUGAGUUAAAACGACUUUUGUGGUCAAUCGAUUUUUAUAUAUGUCAAAUCCACUUUUUCCAGCAAGCCCAUGACGAGCGUAAGGAUAUAUAUCAAAGAUUAGAACCACAAAGAUUAGAACCACAUGUUUCUUGAAUUUUUUCCCCGACGUGAUGGUGUUGAGGGGAAUAGCUGGUUGAAGUGGAAGUUAAUGUAUUCUUUUUUGAUAUGGACCAAAAAUUUCAAAAAAAAUUAUACUUAUUUUCAGUUUUCAUGCGCACGGUUAUUUCUUUUUCUAAUUAUUCUUGUUUUUUCAUUUCUCGAUCACUAGAUUUUAUUUUUGUUCCGUCUUGAAACUUAGCUGCCGUGUAAUAAUUCUAGGUUUUAUUUUAAAUAUUUAUUUGCUGUUCUUCUCCUGCCAAUCUUACACUGCUGAGUUUUAUGCAUUUUACCUCACCGGGUUAUUCUUUUUGUUCAAAUAGAUGGCCAUGAAAAGGGAUUUUUGAUCUGCUGAUGCAUCAAUUGCUGUUGCUGAAGAUUAUGUUUACACCAGUGGAGACCCAGAUAUCUCUAAAUUUUCUAAGUGCCAGGAGGUAAAAAUAUUUCAAUGUUUCAUUUCCUUUUUGAAAUACUGAUCUAUUUGUAAUCAUUCUCAAAACUAUAUUUGAGUGUUUGUUUGGGUUUUGUUUUGCAGGUGUAAUUUCUUUGGGUUAGAUCAACUUAAUAGAAGAAUUCGUAGUGUUUUCUAAUUCCAUGGUAUGUUUGAUUUACAAACUGGGUGUAGUUUCGAUGGUUAGGUUCUGGGUGCUGAGGCAUGUUAACAAAAAAUAGUACGUUUGAUUUGUUUAUUUUUUCUGAUUAUAUGUUUUGGUUAUAGACAUGAACCAUGAUGAACGUACACUUUUUGUUGAUCUUCCUAUUCAUUCUACAUAUAUAGUUUUUGUUACGUAUCUAGAUAUAUAUGCAUUUAGAUCUAUAUUAAAAGUUUUGUAUAUACAAAAAUCAAAACAAAUAGUAAUUUGAGAUGGAGGGACUACUUUCAUUUCUGUUCCGGGUUGUUUGUCUUUCCCAUUUUUUCGUUGACGUACCUACAGUUUUCAGUUACAUGUUUC
rnacentral:lncRNA from 1 species